rnacentral:tRNA from 1 species
GGAUUGUGGCUCAGUGGUGGAAUGCUUGCCUAGAACGCAUGAGGCCCUGGGUUCAAUCCUCAGCGCCA